rnacentral:rRNA from 1 species
GAUCAGUGGCUACGAGGACGAACGCUGGCGGCGUGCUUAACACAUGCAAGUCGAACGAGAAUCUGAUGAAGGAGUUUUCGGACAACGGAUUCAGAGGACAGUGGCGGACGGGUGAGUAACGCGUGAGGAACCUGCCUUUCAGAUGGGGACAACAGCUGGAAACGGCUGCUAAUACCGAAUACGUUCUCUUUAUCGCAUGGUAGAGGGAAGAAAGGGAGACUCUUCGGAGCUUUCGCUGGAGGAGGGGAUGCGUCUGAUUAGCUUGUUGGCGGGGUAACGGCCCACCAAGGCAACGAUCAGUAGGGGUUCUGAGAGGAAGGUCCCCCACAUUGGAACUGAGACACGGUCCAAACUCCUACGGGAGGCAGCAGUGAGGAAUAUUGGUCAAUGGGCGCAGGCCUGAACCAGCCAAGUCGCGUGAGGGAAGACGGUCCUACGGAUUGUAAACCUCUUUUGUCGGGGAGUAACGUGCGGGACGGGUCCCGUAUUGAGAGUACCCGAAGAAAAAGCAUCGGCUAACUCCGUG